rnacentral:rRNA from 1 species
AUUGAACGCUGGCGGCAUGCCUUACACAUGCAAGUCGAACGGUAACGGGCCUUCGGGUGCCGCCGAGUGGCGAACGGGUGAGUAAUACAUCGGAACGUGCCCGAUCGUGGGGGAUAACGAGGCGAAAGCUUUGCUAAUACCGCAUACGAUCUACGGAUGAAAGCAGGGGACCGCAAGGCCUUGCGCGGACGGAGCGGCCGAUGGCAGAUUGGGUAGUUGGUGGGAUAAAAGCUUACCAAGCCGACGAUCUGUAGCUGGUCUGAGAGGAUGAUCAGCCACACUGGGACUGAGACACGGCCCAGACUCCUACGGGAGGCAGCAGUGGGGAAUUUUGGACAAUGGGCGCAAGCCUGAUCCAGCCAUGCCGCGUGCAGGAUGAAGGCCUUCGGGUUGUAAACUGCUUUUGUACGGAACGAAAAGCCUUCUUUUAAUACAGGAGGGUCAUGACGGUACCGUAAGAAUAAGCACCGGCUAACUACGUG